AGGAGACAGAGGAGGAAAAGAAGGCCGCCGAGGAUCGCGCAGCUGCCGUGAAAGCAUCCAGAAAGAAGAAAGAGAGUGGAAAGUCUUCAGUUUUAUUGGACGUUAAGCCUUGGGAUGAUGAGACAGACAUGCAGAAGCUUGAAGCAGCAGUAAGGAGUGUUAAAAUGGAUGGCUUGCUAUGGGGAGCUUGCCCCAGUUGAUGAGGAUGACGAUGAUGAUGUUGAUCUAUUCGGCGAGGAGACAGAGGAGGAAAAGAAGGCCGCCGAGGAUCGCGCAGCUGCCGUGAAAGCAUCCAGAAAGAAGAAAGAGAGU